GAUGAACGCUGGCGGCGUGCCUAAUACAUGCAAGUAGAACGCUGAAGGAAGGAGCUUGCUCUUUCCGGAUGAGUUGCGAACGGGUGAGUAACGCGUAGGUAACCUGCCUGGUAGCGGGGGAUAACUAUUGGAAACGAUAGCUAAUACCGCAUAACAGUAGAUAUUGCAUGAUAUCUGCUUGAAAGGGGCAAUUGCUCCACUACCAGAUGGACCUGCGUUGUAUUAGCUAGUUGGUGAGGUAACGGCUCACCAAGGCGACGAUACAUAGCCGACCUGAGAGGGUGAUCGGCCACACUGGGACUGAGACACGGCCCAGACUCCUACGGGAGGCAGCAGUAGGGAAUCUUCGGCAAUGGACGGAAGUCUGACCGAGCAACGCCGCGUGAGUGAAGAAGGUUUUCGGAUCGUAAAGCUCUGUUGUAAGAGAAGAACGAGUGUGAGAGUGGAAAGUUCACACUGUGACGGUAUCUACCAG
rnacentral:rRNA from 1 species